rnacentral:rRNA from 1 species
AUUGAACGCUGGCGGCAGGCCUAACACAUGCAAGUCGAGCGGGGUUUUCGGACCUAGCGGCGGACGGGUGAGUAAUGCGUAGGAAGCUACCCGAUAGAGGGGGAUACCAGUUGGAAACGACUGUUAAUACCGCAUAAUGUCUACGGACCAAAGUGUGGGACCUUCGGGCCACAUGCUAUCGGAUGCGCCUACGUGGGAUUAGCUAGUUGGUGAGGUAAUGGCUCACCAAGGCGACGAUCUCUAGCUGGUUUGAGAGGAUGAUCAGCCACACUGGAACUGAGACACGGUCCAGACUCCUACGGGAGGCAGCAGUGGGGGAAUAUUGGACAAUGGGCGGCAAGCCUGAUCAGCCAUGCCGCGUGUGUGAAGAAGG